UUGUUUCCGUGUGUUAGAAAGCAAAGUGAGAGCUCUGGAAGGAUCAUGUUUUCAGCAUGUGGAGAAGACCAUGCUGGAACUGGCUGCCCCCUGAGGCCCAUAGAAGACCAUGAUGGAGUGGAUACCCACAAUGCAACCUGUGGAGGAGCCUUGAAGGAAGCUAUAGCUUGUGGAGAGGCCACACAGGAGUGUGUGCCUGGUGGGAGCUGUGGCUGUGUGGAGAGGAACCCAUGUAGGAGCAGACUUUCUCAUGAGAACUGUGGCCUGUGGGGGACCCAUGCCCGGGCAGUCUAUUUCUGAAGAACUGCACCCAUGGAAAGGACUCACGCUAGAGCAGUUUUUGAACUGUGGCUUAUGGUAGGGCUUCCACACUGGAGCAGGGCAUGAGUGUGAGGAAGGAGCCAGACACGGAGCAUUAUGAACUGACAACACCCACCCAUUCCCCAUCCACCUGCACCACUUGGGGCUGGAGAGGAGGUAGAAGAAUCAAGAGUGAAGUUGGGCCUGGUAAGAAGGGAAUCAAAGCUUCUGCUAUAGAUCUUCUGUAUCAAGAUGUCAGUGAACUGAAAGGACAGAAGGUAAAAGCGCAAUGACAGGGGUAAAGUAACAUUUUUUUUAGAGGAAAAACCCACAACCCUGGCUCAGAAUACUUAGUGGACUGUGUCAUUUUACUUUCAGUAUGUGUUUUCAUUCUGUCUUCCAUAUUAAUAGUUCUAAGAAUAGUCUCUCAGAGCACCUGAAACUGUUAAUUUUCAUUACUGUUUCUAAAAGAACAGAUGAGCAAAAUGUUUUCCUGUUUGCUGCAAAUAAGAAGAAACAUUUCACUACCCAUCUUUGGUCAAGCUGGGAUCUGGUCCCACUCUUCUAUGUGAAGAGUCACAAGAGGGA